AUUGAACGCUGGCGGCGUGCUUAACACAUGCAAGUCGAGCGGUAACAGGCGUAGCAAUACGUGCUGACGAGCGGCGAACGGGUGAGUAAUGCUUCGGAAUCUUCCUCGUAGUGGGGAAUAACCUGGGGAAACUCAGGCUAAUACCGCAUACGAACUACGGUUGAAAGCAGGGGAUCGCAAGACCUUGCGCUAUGAGAUGAGCCGAAGUCGGAUUAGCUAGUUGGUGAGGUAACGGCUCACCAAGGCGACGAUCCGUAACUGGUCUGAGAGGACGACCAGCCACACUGGGACUGAGACACGGCCCAGACUCCUACGGGAGGCAGCAGUGGGGAAUAUUGGACAAUGGGCGAAAGCCUGAUCCAGCGACGCCGCGUGUGUGAAGAAGGCCUGCGGGUUGUAAAGCACUUUUAGUGGGGAUGAAAAGCCGAAGGCUAAUACCUUUCGGUCUUGACCUAACCCAAAGAAAAAGCACCGGCUAACUCUGUGCCAGCAGCCGCGGUAAUACAGAGGGUGCAAGCGUUAAUCGGAAUUACUGGGCGUAAAGCGUGCGUAGUCGGUUAUUCAAGUCGGGUGUGAAAGCCCCGGGCUCAACCUGGGAAUUGCAUUCGAUACUG
rnacentral:rRNA from 1 species